GGGAAUAUUGCACAAUGGGCGAAAGCCUGAUGCAGCAACGCCGCGUGAGUGAUGAAGGUCUUCGGAUUGUAAAGCUCUGUCUUUUGGGACGAUAAUGACGGUACCAAAGGAGGAAGCCACGGCUAACUACGUGCCAGCAGCCGCGGUAAUACGUAGGUGGCGAGCGUUGUCCGGAUUUACUGGGCGUAAAGGGUGCGUAGGCGGAUGUUUAAGUGAGAUGUGAAAUACCCGGGCUUAACUUGGGUGCUGCAUUUCAAACUGGAUAUCUAGAGUGCAGGAGAGGAGAAUGGAAUUCCUAGUGUAGCGGUGAAAUGCGUAGAGAUUAGGAAGAACACCAGUGGCGAAGGCGAUUCUCUGGACUGUAACUGACGCUGAGGCACGAAAGCGUGGGUAGCAAACAGGAUUAGAUACCCUGGUAGUCCACGCCGUAAACGAUGAGUACUAGGUGUAGGAGGUAUCGACCCCUUCUGUGCCGCAGUAAACACAUUAAGUACUCCGCCUGGGAAGUACGAUCGCAAGAUUAAAAC
rnacentral:rRNA from 1 species